rnacentral:lncRNA from 1 species
GAUGGCUCAGUGCCGGGACCUGGAGAAUCACCACCACGAGAAGCUCCUGGAGAUCUCUAUCAGCACCCUGGAGAAGAUUGUCGAGGGCGACCUGGACGAGGACCUGCCUAACGACCUGCGCGCGGGUCGUUUCCAAAAGUUCAAUUAUGUGGAGGCUUCUGGCACUUUCUAAGAGAAGCAGUUACAGCACAUCCACUGAUGAAUGGUCACAAAAUCAGCAGGGUCGGCCUGAGGAACCUGGCUCCAUCCCUGGGGUCUGCACGCUAAGAAGGCUCUCCCGGAUGUCUGCGCUGGGUCCCGCGGCAGCAUGUCUAUGUCUCUGGAAGGAGUGUGGGCAUCAAGGGCCCAGACAGAGAUACUAUGUUGUCAGGGCCCAGACAGAGAUACUAUGUUGUCAGGGCCUGCUUUAGUGCAUGCAUCAUUCACUCC